GACGAAGGAUGCAAGCGUUUAUCCGGAUUCAUUGGGUUUAAAGGGUGCGUAGGCGGACCAGUAAGUCAGUGGUGAAAUCUCUUUGCUUAACAAAGAAACUGCCAUUGAUACUGCUAGUCUAGAGUAUAGAUGACGUUGGCGGAAUAUGACAUGUAGUGGUGAAAUACUUAGAUAUGUCAUAGAACACCGAUUGCGAAGGCAGCUAACGAAACUAUAACUGACGCUGAGGCACGAAAAGUGCGGGGAUCAAACAGG
rnacentral:rRNA from 1 species